ACGACCACAUAACGUUAAAACAUCGGUUCCCUUACGAUCACCGAGGUUAAGCAACGUCGUACCUGGUCAGUACUUAGGUGGGUGACUGUUUGGUAAUACCAGGUGAU